rnacentral:rRNA from 1 species
CCUACGGGGGGCAGCAGUGAGGAAUAUUGGUCAAUGGACGAGAGUCUGAACCAGCCAAGUAGCGUGAAGGAUGACUGCCCUAUGGGUUGUAAACUUCUUUUAUAAAGGAAUAAAACGAGGCACGUGUGCCUUUUUGCAUGUACUUUAUGAAUAAGGAUCGGCUAACUCCGUGCCAGCAGCCGCGUUAAUACGGAGGGUCCGAGCGUUAUCCGGAUUUAUUGGGUUUAAAGGGAGCGUAGAUGGGUUGUUAAGUCAGUUGUGAAAGUUUGAGGCUCAACCGUAAAAUUGCAAUUGAUACUGGCAGUCGUGAGUACAGUUGAGGUAGGUGGAAUUCGUGGUGUAGCGGUGAAAUGCUUAGAUAUCACGAAGAACCCCGAUUGCGAAGGCAGCUUACUAAACUGUGACUGACAUUGAUGCUCGAAAGUGUGGGUAUCAAACAGGAUUAGAUACCCUGGUAGUC